rnacentral:rRNA from 1 species
AUUGAACGCUGGCGGCAUGCCUUACACAUGCAAGUCGAACGGCAGCACGGGAGCAAUCCUGGUGGCGAGUGGCGAACGGGUGAGUAAAGUAUCGGAACGUGCCCAGUCGUGGGGGAUAACGUAGCGAAAGUUACGCUAAUACCGCAUACGAUCUAUGGAUGAAAGCGGGGGAUCGCAAGACCUCGCGCGAUUGGAGCGGCCGAUAGCAGAUUAGGUAGUGUGUGGGGUAAAGGCUCACCAAGCCGCAGAUCUGUAGCUGGUCUGAGAGGACGACCAGCCACACUGGGACUGAGACACGGCCCAGACUCCUACGGGAGGCAGCAGUGGGAAAUUUUGGACAAUGGGCGAAAGCCUGAUCCAGCCAUGCCGCGUGCAGGAUGAAGGCCUUCGGGUUGUAAACUGCUUUUGUACGGAACGAAAAGGUUUGGCCUAAUAAGCUGAGCUCAUGACGGUACCGUAAGAAUAAGCACCGGCUAACUACGUGCCAGCAGCCGCCGCGG